GGACGAUCAUCUCACUGCGGAUCAUCAUCUGGAACACAUGUGUUCAGAGUGCGAAGAGAGCUUUGGCUCUGCAGAAGAGGCCAAAGAGCAUACUCUUUUAGCUCACGAAAAUGCUCAAACAUUCGAUGAUCCAAAAAUUAGAAAUACUAGGUAUUGUUGUUAUCUCAGAGCUAAAAUAAAUAUAAUAUUUCAGAAUUGUAGAUUCCAUAAUUGCAGCAGUGAGAGUAUCCGGUGAUGUGAUUGAAGAAUUCAAUUCAGUGAUCAUGCGAGCGGUUAUUCGUCAUUGGGGAAACACGAGCACGGAAAAGCUGGUAAGGAGCAGAUGAUAAUUUUAUUUUAUCUGAGAAUGCGUUUUGCGCAAAAUAUCUUGUAUCGAAAACUACAGUAACUUUUUCAAAGACUACUGUAUCACUAGCGGCGACUUACGGAAAUCAUUCGAUAAAAAUUAAAAGAAAUCACAAAAAUGACAACAACUUGAAUUUCGCUGUCACAAUUUGAUCAGAAAAUUACAAAUAGCAAGCCAAUACAUCGACGCCAGUUCUACAGUAGGCAGUUCAGGUUUUUUAUACAGUUAAGUAUUAUAUUAAAAGUAAAAUAUUAAAACUGUCACCUUAAAUUUGAAUCCAGCCAAGCCCGCGAAAAACUCCGCUCGAUUUCGGAUGCCGAAAAUUGGCUCGAAUCGAGAGAUAUUCGGGAGAUGCUGGAAUCAAAUAAGACCUACUUUCUUUUAGAUUUCCGCCGAUCACCACAAAAAUGAAAAGAGUGGGUAAUAUAUCGCGGCCGACAACCCACGGGUUCCGCGCCUCGCUAUAAAUUAAGUAAAUUAAGCCACGCCCUUCAAAAGCACACCAACUGAUAGGGUGUGGCUUAAUUGACUUAAUUUAGAGCGAGGCGCGGAACCCGUGGGUUGUCGGCCGCCAUGUAUUACCCACUCUUUUCAUUUUUGUGGUGAUCGGCGGAAAUCUAAAAGAAAGUAGGUCUUAUUUGAUUCCAGCAUCUCCCGAAUAUCUCUCGAUUCGAGCCAAUUUUUGGCAUCCGAAAUCGAGAGGGAAUUUUUCACGGGCUUGGCUAAAUUCAAAUUUGAUGUGACAGUUUUAAAAUUUUGAUACUCUUUUUAACGAAAAAUUAUUCGAUUUCAGAUUGCUGUCGUUGAUUCUCCAAUGAUUACUCGUGACUUCUAUAUCGACUGUUUUGAAGCUUUAAAGAUGGUAGACUAUUCAUUUGUAUUUAAACAAUGAAAUAAAAUUCGAAAUUUGCAGAGAUACGAUUCUGGAGAGAAGUCCAUCGAUCUUCUCUGUCGUUUGGCAAAAUUGUGUACAAAAAUUGGAAAUUUUGUUGAGAAGGAAAAGAGAAAGGACAUCAUAAUCAAAGGAAAGAUGUACGCUACCGAAGCCUGGAACACCGAUUCGUACAACAUCUUGGCUGCUCAUUGGGCCGCUGUGAUGUCAGGAAAGGCAAUCGAAUAUCUUGAAGGCGAUGAAAAGAAUCUGGAGAUGAGACACUGCAGACAAUAUCUCGAUCGUGCCAUCUCUAUCCAGGCAGGAAAAAAUGCAAUGUACAAUAAUAUUCUUGGCCGUUGGGCUCUUUCAGCACUGGAGAUUUGGGAGUCUGACCGACAACAGUUAAUUCAUCAUUAUGCCACCCCAUAUGACGCUAUCGACGAUGCCAUUUAUCAGUUCAGAUCCGCUUUCGAUCUCAUACCGUAUUGGAUCGAUAAUAUUGUACACCUGGGCAAAGCGCUUCUUUACAAUGAAAACAAAGAAGCCGCCAUUGGAAUGUUUCAGCUCGCACUCAAAAUGGACCCGUCGAACGAUAUCGAGAAAGAGUUGCUCGCCGACGCCCUUGACUUGUGCUCAAUUUGAUCCUUCUUUUAUUUCCAUUUUAUUUUCUGUGUCUCAUUUUUCCGUUUGCACUUUCCUCCGUUUUUUUAUUGUAAAAAUUCCGUAAAAAUCGGCCCAAAAUUCCCAUUUUCAGGGGAUUCUUGGAGCCCAACUUCUUUUUUUAAAAAUUUGGAUUUUUAAAUUUUUCCCCGAUUUUCUAUAGGAAAUUCCAAAACAUUUACUGAAAAAUAGAAAAAAAAAUGGCCAGAUUUCUCGAAAAAAUUAAAAUUUUUGGAAUUUUUCUGAUUUUUAGCUAAUUUUUUGAAAAAACUGGCUCAAAAAUUUUUUUUUGGUAUUUUUUAAAGAAUUUUUAUUUUUAGAAAAUCCGUGAAAAUUGAGGGAAAUUGAGCCAGAAAUUUGGUAUUUUGGAGCCCAAAAUCUGUUAAUUUUUAUUUUUAAAUUUCCACGAAUUUUAAGCUAAUUUUCUGAAGAAGUUGGCUCAAAAUUUCGGUUUUUUGGAAUUUAUUUUUUUCCUGAAUUCCUAGAAUUUAUAGUGUAGUUGAUCCGGAAAUUCUAUUUUUCUCAAAUAAUUGAAAAUUUUUACUUUCAGAAAAUCCCUGAAAAUUGAGUGAAAUUGAGCUCAAAAUUCAUAUUCUUCUCAAAAAAUUGAUUUUUCUGUUGAAACUUCCUUGAGAAAAUUUCUAGAAGAAGCUGGCUCAAAAUUUCGAAUUUUUGGAAAGUUUUUGGAAUUUUCAUAAUCAAGUUUUUUUCGAAAAAAUUGAAAUUCCGCCGAGUUUAAGCUAAUUUUUAGAAUUUUUCUCAGUUAACGGUUCUUUUCUAGUGAAAAAUUCCAAAAUUUAGAAAUUUAAAAAUCCCUUUUCCCCUUAUAAAUUGCCCCAAACAUUUCCGCUUCAACCAAUUUUUCAACAUUUUUAUUCUAUAUUUAACGGCUAUACAAAAAAAUCGAUAAUUUCUCAGGUUUUCACCUCUAUUUCCUAUCUUGUUCACACGCCUCGGUCCCAAAAUUUAAUAGAUUUUCAGGCCAAAAAAACCAAUGGGGUUUUUACAAAUUCUUCAAGAAUGUCGAGCCGAAGGACUAUGGCCAAUUGGGCCAUCUUGUAAUAAGGUGCUGUGAAAAAUUUGGAAAAAAAUUAUUAUACAUUCGUCGAAAAAUUUCAUCUCAGUUUAAAGGCGCACACAUUUUUUGUACUUUGGGUCUCACCACGAUUUCGACUUUUUGAAGCUUAAAAUCACUAAAAAUUACGUGGAUCGUGGCAGGACAAAAAAGUGUUAUUAUACAUUCGCCAAAAAAUGCCAGCUGAUGAAAGGUGCAUGUUUUUUGCAAAAAUUGCAAAAAAUUACCAAUCGAAAAAAAAAACUCAUAUUUUUCCGAUGGGUCUCGCCACGAUCUGCGUCUUUUGGAUCCUAAAAGAACCCAAAAUUAUGUGAAUCGUGGCGGGACCCAGAAGUGUAUGCGCCUUUAAAAUAGGAGAGUAUAUUUUUGAGAAUGUGUAAUAAUUUAUUUUUUUGCUUUGAAGAAACUUUUUAUCAUUUUAUGAUAAUAAUAAUUUUAUUAUACAUACGUCGAAAAAAUGUCAUGGCAAUUACCUUUAGGUCUCGCCACGAUCUACGUCUUUUGGAUCCUAGAAGCGUCCAAAAUCACGCAAUUCGUGACGAGACCCAACAGUGUAUGCGUCUUUAAAAUAAGCUUGCAUAAUUGUGGGAAUGUAUAAUAAUUUAUUAUUGUAUUUUUUCAAUUAUUUAUUACAAAAAAAUGUAUCAAAAAAUUUUAUACAAAUCAACAAAAAAAACAAAAACAAUUUUUUUCGUGUACUCCACACGGACAACAAACUGUAGUUUUACAACUAAAACGCGCCGUAAAUCUACACAAAAUCUCUCCGACCCAAAAUGGCCUAAUUCGGCAAACUCUGCCAUUUCGAUUCAUGAGGGAAGCCAGAAUUCCGUGUUUUAACCGAAAAUUCCAGAGUCUAUCAAAAAAUUCCAAUUUCACCUUUCUACCGUAGUCCAGCGCGGGAAUUCAAAAUUCUCACGUUCCACCGGUCUCCCUUAUCAAUAUAUAUAUCAUCCUCACGGGGUUCUGGCUCGACCCCCCUCUCGAAAAUUUUGGAAAAUGGCGGGAAAAAAUAUUUGAUCUCGCAAGAGGAAUUUUCACGCAGCGCGUUGAAAAAGUGUAUGCAUUUGCGCGUGACGGUGUUUGCACAAAAUACACCGAGGGGUCGAGCCAGAACCCCGUGCAUCCUCCCAAUCACUUUCACUGGUUACUUUUUCAUUUUACCUUUUUUUUUACGAAUUUCCGUUCGCGAAACCAAAAAAAAAAUUCCAAAAAAAAGACCGGUGGCUAUAAUUACAGUACUGCUAUUUUCGCAUCGCCAAGGGGGUUAGAUCAGGGGUGCGCGGCAAUUGCCGUACGGCAAUCGAAUUGUCGGCAAUUUCGGCAAUUGCCGAAAUUGCCGAUUGCCGAAAAUUUUGAAAACCGGCAAUUGUCGAAAUUGCCGAUUGCCGGAAAUUUUCGAUUGCCGCGCACCCCUGGGUUAGAUGUUCUUCUCUCCUAUGUGUGUAUAUGUGCUAUCAGUCGAGUACUGAAAAUUGUGCAUGAUUUUUCAAAAAAAAAAAACCACCCAAGUCUUGACUCCUUUUUUUUCGCUGUUUUUUUCUGGAAAACUCAAAAUAUUUGUUCUCUAUUUUUCAAUAAUUUUGAAAAAUAAACCUUUAAAUUGGCUCUCGCCACGAUUUUAGCGGGUCUUUUUUUUCAAAUUUUCAAAUUAUAUAUUUUUUUAUUUAACAAUUCCAAUUUUUACCGAUUUUCAUUGAAAAUUGGCACGGGUUUCUAAUUUCCCCCCUGUUUUCAAAUGGAAGAGGUGGCCGUGAAAAAAGCGAACCUCGACCGGGGGUCGCGACCGGGAAAACUCAACGAAAUUUCGCAUUUUCGUUGCUUUUUUCGGUUUCAAAACACGUUUUCGUUUGAUUUUGUAUUAAAUAAAAUGCAAAAUCGAUUGAAAACGUGUUUUGAAACCGAAGAAAGCAACGAAAAUGCGAAAUUUCGUUAAGUUUUUCCGGUCGCGACCCCCGGUCGAGGUUCGCUUUUUUCACGGCCACCUCUUCCAUUUGAAAACAGGGGGAAAUUAGAAACCCGUGAAUUGGCGAAUUCUCAUUUAAAAAGUUUAAAAAUUGCUUGAGACUUACAGUAGUUUUAAAGGAGCAUGCACAAAUUCUUGCGAUGGGUCUUGCCACGAACUCUAUUCUUCGAAUUUUAAACUCAAAUUUAAAGAUUUUCUUCUCAUUUUUUGCCUAAUAUUCAUCAAAUCUAUUGAUUUUUCUUGCAGAGAAUGUGCCAGGAGGCUCGCCACGUCAGCUUCUAAAUAAUCAACACUAUUUGGAGCAUCAAGAGCCCCCGCGUCAAGCAAUUUUCAACGCAACUCUCCAAAUUCAACAGGAAAUCAAAAACAACGAAAACGGCGGCAUGAUGGCCCCCAGUACUGAGGUUAAUUCGGAGAAAUUUGAAUUAGAAGGCUAAUUUUUACGAUUUUUACCAUAAAAAUCCGUUAAAAACCAUAAUUUUUCCAGGAUCCCGAUACGGUUGUCGAGGCUCAACGUCGUGGAAGCUUCUCGAAGAAAAAGAACGCAAAUGGGUGGAAUAAGGUCGAACUUGUCGAUCAGUGUG
rnacentral:sRNA from 1 species